rnacentral:rRNA from 1 species
AACGAACGCUGGCGGCAGGCUUAACACAUGCAAGUCGAACGCUCCGCAAGGGGAGUGGCCGGCGGGUGAGUAACGCGUGGGAACAUACCCUUUUCUACGGAAUAGCUCUGGGAAACUGGAAUUAAUACCGUAUACGCCCUACGGGGGAAAGAUUUAUCGGGGAAGGAUUGGCCCGCGUUGGAUUAGCUAGUUGGUGGGGUAAAGGCCUACCAAGGCGACGAUCCAUAGCUGGUCUGAGAGGAUGAUCAGCCACAUUGGGACUGAGACACGGCCCAAACUCCUACGGGAGGCAGCAGUGGGGAAUAUUGGACAAUGGGCGCAAGCCUGAUCCAGCCAUGCCGCGUGAGUGAUGAAGGCCUUAGGGUUGUAAAGCUCUUUCACCGAUGAAGAUAAUGACGGUAGUCGGAGAAGAAGCCCCGGCUAACUUCGUG